rnacentral:rRNA from 1 species
GACGAACGCUGGCGGCGUGCUUAACACAUGCAAGUCGAACGGAGUGGCGAACGGGUGAGUAAGACGUGGGUGACCUGCCCUGCACUUCGGGAGAAGCAUGGGAAACAGGGUCUAAUACCGGCGAGUGUGGGAUGGGCCCGCGGCCAAUCGGCUUGUUGGGGGGGUAGUGGCAUACCACGUGGGCGACGGGUAGCCGGCCUGAGAGGGUGGACGGCCACCUUGGGACUGAGGCACGGUCCAGACUCCUACGGGGGGCAGCAGUGGGGAAUAUGUCACAAUCGGCGGAAGUCUGAUGAAGCGACCCCGCGUGUGGGAUGACGGCCUUCGGGUUGUAAACGCCUUUCACCAUCGACGCGUUAGAUGGAGAAGAAGCACCGGCUAACUACGUGCCAGCCGCCGCGGUAAUUC